AUGCACCUACCACUACAAGAACAACAAAAAUCGCCAGAGAAAAUCCACCCAUACAAGUACACAUACACGUACAUCGAUAUCAAACACCAGGGGAAUCGAAUCAAACUAGUAGAUAUAGAAGAAAUCCAGUGGGGAAAGAGAGCAAACAAGAACAACCAACCGAAACCACAAGGAACUGGAUCGGAAAUCAAGCUGCAGUAG
rnacentral:rRNA from 1 species